rnacentral:rRNA from 1 species
CUGGCUGGCCGGUCCGCCUCACCGCGAGUACUGGUCCGGCUGGACCUUUCCUUCUGGGGAACCUCAUGGCCUUCACUGGCUGUGGGGGGAACCAGGACUUUUACUGUGAAAAAAUUAGAGUGUUCAAAGCAGGCCUUUGCUCGAAUACCUUAGCAUGGAAUAAUAGAAUAGGACGUGCGGUUCUAUUUUGUUGGUUUCUAGGACCGCCGUAAUGAUUAAUAGGGAUAGUCGGGGGCGUCCGUAUUCAGCUGUCAGAGGUGAAAUUCUUGGAUUUGCUGAAGACUAACUACUGCGAAAGCAUUCGCCAAGGAUGUUUUCAUUAAUCAGGGAACGAAAGUUAGGGGAUCGAAAACGAUCAAAUACCGUCGUAGUCUUAACCAUAAACUAUGCCGACAAGGGAUCGGGCGGUGUUUCUAUGAUGACCCGCUCGGCACCUUACGAGAAAUCAAAGUUUUUGGGUUCUGGGGGGAGUAUGGUCGCAAGGCUGAAACUUAAAGAAAUUGACGGAAGGGCACCACAAGGCGUGGAGCCUGCGGCUU